GGAGUUGUGGCUCAGUGGAAGAGCCUCUGCUUUGAAUGCUGAGGGUCCCAGGUUCAAUCCUUGGCAUCUCCA